UACGUAGGGUGCGAGCGUUAAUCGGAAUUACUGGGCGUAAAGCGCGCGCAGGCGGCUAUCCAAGUCAGUGGUGAAAGCCCGGAGCUCAACUCCGGAGCUGCCAUUGAAACUGUUUAGCUUGAGGACGAGAGAGGUGAGUGGAAUUCCCAGUGUAGAGGUGAAAUUCGUAGAUAUUGGGAAGAACACCGGUGGCGAAGGCGGCUCACUGGCUCGUAUCUGACGCUCAGGCGCGACAGCGUGGGGAUCGAAACAGG
rnacentral:rRNA from 1 species